rnacentral:rRNA from 1 species
GACGAACGCUGGCGGCGUGCCUAAUACAUGCAAGUCGAACGCAUUUUCUUUCACCGUAGCUUGCUACACCGAAAGAAAAUGAGUGGCGAACGGGUGAGUAACACGUGGGUAACCUGCCCAUCAGCGGGGGAUAACACUUGGAAACAGGUGCUAAUACCGCAUAAUUCCAUUUACUGCAUGGUAGAUGGAUGAAAGGCGCUUUUGCGUCACUGAUGGAUGGACCCGCGGUGCAUUAGCUAGUUGGUGGGGUAACGGCCUACCAAGGCUGCGAUGCAUAGCCGACCUGAGAGGGUGAUCGGCCACACUGGGACUGAGACACGGCCCAGACUCCUACGGGAGGCAGCAGUAGGGAAUCCUCGGCAAUGGACGCAAGUCUGACCGAGCAACGCCGCGUGAGUGAAGAAGGUUUUCGGAUCGUAAAACUCUGUUGUUAGAAAAGAACAAGGAUGAGAGUGGAAAGUUCAUCCCUUGACGGUAUCUAACCAGAAAGCCCCGGCUAACUACGUG